UUUUUUGUUCCUAAAAUGACUGGUGGUACCGUAUCAGUUUCAUAACAAACUGAGCCGAUAUGGGUCGAGUCAUGCAGCGUCACUCGCCGCAACGCGCGGCAAUAAUCCUAGUUCAAAACAAAAACCAUUAUCCAAAAUCCUAAUUUCUCCACCUCCAACACCAAUCUUCUAUACUGCGUAUUCAAACUUUAUCAGAUUUGCAAUCAAUUCAACUGGUUAGGGUUCGAUAAUCAAUAAACAGUCUAUGGUAUGAGAACACAUCUUCCACAACGUUUCCUUUGACUGUCGAGUUUGAAUUAUCUUCAAGAAAGAAGAAGGUUGUACAUAAGUGGCUGCAAAGUACUAUGAAGAGGAUAGCUGUAAACACAAUCCUAUCAAUUGAGGAAGUUAAUCUUUAAUGAUGAAACGGUCAUCCAGUUUCUAAACCCCAAAGUUUUAGCCUCUGUUGGUGCCAACACAUGGUUUGCUAGCGGCUUGCCUCAAACAAAGAAGCUGCAAUUCUCUAGCAGAAAACCCUAAUAUGUGGGAAAAGGAAAUUAAGGAUUGCACAACACUACUUCGUCAUUUACUUCGGUCACCAUCAUUCUUGCAGGAAUUUCAUUUAAACCCUUGGGAAGUGGAUUUAGGAUAUGGACCCAUUUGAACCCUUUGAAAAUUUGAAAUAGCAACAACCACUGGCAGCAUUGAAAGAACUGUUGCAGAAGUGUUAAGUAAGGUGAGAUUUUGGACGAUGGGGCAUUGAAGAUUGGGAGUUCGACUGUGGAGCUUUUGAAGAGAGUUGGGAAAUAGUUACAGAGGAAAAUUGUUGGUAUUUUUUUCAAGAUUAGGGACACUAGCUUUUUUAGAUUUUAUUGAAUCUAU
rnacentral:lncRNA from 1 species